UGUUUCUUUCUCCUCUUUCAGACCGGUGGUGACUGCUACCAGAAUCAGACAGAGGAAUCUGCUUCAGGAAGCAAAAAGCUGGUCGAGCUACACAGCAACAGAGCCAAGCACAGAGUGGAAAACUUGACACAAAGCUCGCAGAUGACAGCGACAAAGCCAAGGGAGGCGGCAGCAGCAAAAAGACAAAGCUGCACACGUACAACUGAGCGGACGGCAUGCCAUCCAGAAUGCAGAACUUCUGCGUCGCCUGAAGGAUCUUUCUAAGAGCACACACACCGGCACACUCGCACAACAAACACGUGUGUGCCCCCCCCCCCCCCCCCCCACACACACACACAAACACACACACUAUGACACAAAUGCAUAUCGGCACUGUUUGCAACAACUGAGGCACUGGAAUUGUCAACAAACUAUCAUCUGAAAUUCUCCAUAGUAAAAUGGCAUGCAUUCUAGAAAUUAUUUUAAAGGUAGCAAUUACACUGGUAACUUGUUUUAUGAUUGUUAAUUUGUUGUUUUCUUUUGAGUUUUAUUUCAAGUAAGGACACUGCUUUCUAAAUGUGUGAUCUUUCUAGAAAAAAGUCCCUUUGCACUGGUGAGGUCAGAUGCUGUAUCCUGUGAUGAAUAUAUCAAUUGAUGAAGACAAACUACUACAACUUACUACUAUGACCCAGCUUAGGAUAUUGUUUGUUACUCAUUGUAGCCAGGUUAAUUUACUCCUCCACAUUAUAAAAUAUAGAGGCUCAAGUUGGCUGGCCAACUGUUCAGUGUUUAAUAUUACAGCACUCUUUCUGCCUUUAACACCCACAGAGGCAAAGAGCCAAAGACUCACAAUGGGUCGUCUCCCUGAGAAUGUGCCAUGCACUGAGUAGUAACUCCUAGCUACAUUUCUCUGUGUUACCUGACCUUUCUGUGUCCUUUCAAUAAACUGUAAUUUUCAGUAAAUGUGUGAAGAAUAAAUGGUUAUUUGUGGGAAA